rnacentral:lncRNA from 1 species
UAAAUCAACUUCCGUUUGUUUCUAGCAAUCCUUGCACAAUAUGAAUUAUUUCAGGUAACAGACCAUGCUUCCACUUGCGCCUAAUUAUCCUAAUACCAAGGUUUUAGUUAACUACUCCAGAACACAAGUAAUAAGAGCAAUUCAAUUGAUGAAUAUCACAAACAACUCAUCAAUCUAUAUUUGGGGCUAAUCCUUCAUAAUUCUAUUUGAACCCUAAACCUAACACGAUGAACUACUCAAACAUAGCAAAUAACACAAAGGAAUUCAUAAAUAGGUUAAGGUUAGAAGUACUUGAGUUUCAAUACAAAUCUCUGAAAGAGUCUUGGAUCUUCUCUCCAAAUCUAUUAAAAACCUUUUCUGUGUGAAACUAGAAAAUAGGAAAAGCGUAGAAAGCGUGUGUUGCCUAGAACAAUGGCAGAACAACAUAGAUAGUGCACCCAAAUCACCACUUUUCUCCAAAUCAUCCCUGAACCUGUAAAAGUGCUAAAAAGACUCCAAAACAACAUAGAUAGUCCCUAAAAUACCUAUAUACCAUGGCUGAAAGUGGGUAAAAUCUAUGGUAUAUCACACCCCCAGACUUACCUUUUUGUUUGUCCUCAAACAAAACAAAGGGUAGUCUUUGCUAAGAGGUUUUAGAAACAGCAGGGACUCACACAAUUUAAGAACUCAUAUCAUCACCUCUACAAUGUUGCAAGCCAUAUCAAAUAAAUUUUAACUUCAGAGGUAUCCUAUAUACCAUAUCCUAGCUUAGCAACCAAAUCCAUGUAACCAUCAACUUAGCUAAUAGUGUCUGACUCGCCCCUC